AGCAGCCGCGGUAAUUCCAGCUCCAAUAGCGUAUAUUAAAGUUGUCGCAAGUUAAAAAGCUCGUAGUUGAAUUUCGGGAUCAAUUGAUUGGUCAUGCCUACGGUAUGUACUAGUCAUAUGGGUUCUCACCUUCUAAUGAACCUUAAUGUCAGUUCACUUGAUGUUUUGGGGAAUUAGGACUGUUACCUUGAAAAAAUUAGAGUGUUUAAAGCAGGCUUACGCUUGAAAUACAUUAGCAUGGAAUAAUGAAAUAGGACAUCGCAUUCUAUUUUGUUGGUUUCUAGGAUCGAUGUAAUGAUUAAUAGGGAUAGUUGGGGGCAUUAGUAUUCAAUUGUCAGAGGUGAAAUUCUUGGGAUUUAUUGAAGACUAACUACUGCGAAAGCAUUUGCCAAGGGAUGUUUUCAUUAAUCAAGAACGAAAGUUAGGGGAUUCGAAGA
rnacentral:sRNA from 1 species